UGGAGCGGCGACUUCCUGGAGACCACAGGUGUGGAAACGAGCGCCGCGCCCCUGGCCGGACGGGCUUCUGAAGCUGGCAGUAGGAUGAAUGUGGGGGUGGCACACAGCGAAGUAAACCCCAACACUCGAGUGAUGAAUAGUCGGGGCAUCUGGCUGGCCUACAUCAUCUUGGUAGGACUACUCCAUGUGGUUCUACUCAGCAUCCCCUUCUUCAGCAUUCCUGUUGUCUGGACCCUGACCAACGUCAUCCAUAACUUGGCAAUGUAUAUCUUUCUACAUAUGGUGAAAGGGACACCUUUUGAGACCCCUGACCAAGGAAAGGCUCGGCUACUGACCCACUGGGAGCAGAUGGACUAUGGGCUCCAGUUUACCUCUUCUCGCAAGUUCCUGAGCAUCUCUCCCAUUGUGCUGUGAGUCUAUGCUGGGUUAGAAAGAGCUCCAAGAACCAGGUUGAAAGACCCAGAGGGAACCUUUGUAAAAGGAGGCUAUCCAACUACCUCCUGGCCAGCUUCUACACCAAGUAUGAUGCUGCUCACUUCCUCAUCAACACAGUCUCGUUGCUCAGUGUACUUCUGCCUAAGUUGCCCCAAUUCCAUGGGGUUCGUGUCUUUGGCAUCAACAAAUACUGAGGGAUGGGGCUGGGGACAGUUCCACAGGCGUGGGAAAGCAUUGGAACAAGGGACUAUAACAUCAUUCUCUUCUCCA